GAUGAACGCUGGCGGCGUGCCUAACACAUGCAAGUCGAGCGCGAUUAAGUGUAGUGGAGACUUCGGUCAAAGUGAAACUUAUGAAAGCGGCGGACGGGUGAGUAACGCGUGGGUAACCUGCCCCAUACAAAGGGAUAGCCACUGGAAACGGUGAUUAAUACCUUAUAAGUCGGUAGUCUCGCAUGAGACAGCCGAUAAAGAUUUAUCGGUAUGGGAUGGACCCGCGUCUGAUUAGCUAGUUGGUGAGGUAACGGCUCACCAAGGCGACGAUCAGUAGCCGACCUGAGAGGGUGAUCGGCCACACUGGAACUGAAACACGGUCCAGACUCCUACGGGAGGCAGCAGUGGGGAAUAUUGCACAAUGGGCGCAAGCCUGAUGCAGCAACGCCGCGUGAGUGAUGAAGGCUUUCGGGUCGUAAAACUCUGUCCUAUGGAGAAAAAAUAGACGGUACCAUAGGAGGAAGCCCGGCUAACUACGUGCCAGCAGCCGCGGUAAAG
rnacentral:rRNA from 1 species